AGUAGCUAAGGUUCUGUGGUCAUUAACCAUUGAUUUCUAGCUUUAAUCAGAUCAGUAUUAACUGAGUUCUCAGUUUCCUUUUGAUUUCACUUGCUCUUAAAACUCAAUGAUCUUCUUUAUGUUUCAGUUUUCCUUUGCAAAUUCCACUUUACAAUUUUACCUUCUGAAUCUGUUAAUUCCCUUAUUUAAUUUUUGGAUUUGAUAAUUUAUAUUUUCUAUCCUAACUUUUGUCAUAAUCCCAGUAUCAUCUUUGUCUAUUUUCUAUCCUCUUGGAACCUGGAAAAUCGACCCCUUUUGCAGAACCUAUCUUCUUGGUUCCUAAGCUUGGAUUCAAGAGAUACCAAUUUGCAUUAGUGUAGACGCAAAGAUUUUAUCAUUUCGGAACUGUUUCAAUUGUCAGUAGGUAAUUACAUUCAUAGUAAAGUGGGGUUAUCUUUUGAUCAGGAAGGAGGGCAUCUGCUCUGGCAAUAUGAUGUUGGAGAACCAAUUAUCUGAUCCGUCUCCUCUGGCAGACAGGUUGGCUUGCAUUUGCGGCAGUUCAGGAAGCAUAUAUUUGCUUCAAAUCAACUCAAAUGCCACAACAUAUGGGAAUCAGCAAGUGAAAGAGUUGGUGGACCCAAUGGUGCAGGAAUUUGCACACAUGAACCUCCUAGGAGAUAUUUUCUCUUCACCUGUGAUGAUUGGUGGCCGAAUUUAUGUUGGUUGUCGAGAUGAUUAUCUGCACUGUAUUGGAGUUGAGGCGAAGGUUUCGAUAAAAAAAUAAUGGUGGAAAACCCAAAGGGGGUCAUUCUUUUCACUAACUACUCAAGUCCAUUUUUCUUUGAUAUGCUUGUACAUUCAUCAUUGAACACAGAAAAUCCUGGAUGAUCCAAAACUAGGAUUCACCAAAAGUGAAAAUUCAAACAGAAAGCUAUUUACAAUGUCAUGCCCAUAAUUUAUUGGUUCGGCACCCGCAGAGGUGCUCAAGAUGGAUUUUAUGCUCAGCAUUAUAUUGUUGAGCUUCAGUUGUUAAAAAGAGAAAGAAACAAGAAACUGCACACCAAUACUGGUGGUUACCUUCCUAAACUUGUUUGAAGUGGGUCUUGUUCAUGUCAUUAGACCAGUUUGAAGUAGUUGUUGUGGAUAUAUUGAAGUGUUGUGGCAGAAGAAACAGACCCUAGGUAUGACCGGGAAGGCAUUGUACAAGACCAGAAACUAUUCAAAGUGACAAUGAUGAACCUCCACAUGUAAUGUUCUGGCAAUGAUCCUGAGGAAUUGUAUUCCCGUAAAGUGCUUUUAUUAAUGAAUACUUUACACCGAAUGGAGCAACUUUAGUGUUAAAAGUCCAAGGUACUGGGUGCAUUUAUAGAGCACAUUCCGGUGGGAAAGGUUGGAUUGCUUACCGUCAUAGCUCAAAGAUUUGCAACCAAGAACUGUGCAGAGCUUUCCAGAGGACCUUUGCUGAGUUAAUAGUUUCAGGCAGUAAAGAAAUUGGUAAUUAAAGAUCUCAUGUCUUUAUGAUAUUCUGUUUCUCUUUCUAUUCUCAGGAUUAAGGGGAUUUGAACUUGUGUACUAAGUAAUGCCAUUAGUUUCAGGACUUUAAUAGUUUAUAUAUAACUAAGGAGCAAAAUUUUCUUU